GAAGUUUGCUACUUGCACAUUCUAUUUCCUCUUAUAGGUUUGAAAGCGGCUAACUUCACUCUCCAAUAAGACCAUAAAAUACAUCGGGCGAACCGUUGAAAUACACUUGUCUGUGACCUGGAAAUAUUCUGCAUCAACGAUUUUGUACACACACGUACGCGGAUACGCGUCUAUGUGUUUGAUGUAAAACAGACGUAAGUCAAACUGUACAUGCACACUCGGCUCGGCCUUCAGUUCAGCAGCCAAUGCUCAGCGCUGAAGCAAAAACUGUGUUAUGUAUUUGAUUCUAUCCAGAUAAGUAUGCGUAUGAUAAUUUAUGCACGUAACACAUCCCAGGUAAGUGUAAUUGACGUUGUGUUAUGUUAUGACAAAGUUUUUUUUUUUUGUCGCAGUUAAAGUUGGAAUCACAAAAAGGAUUAGAAGGCUAUAGAAUCAGUUAUACCUAGAAGUUUGCUUCAAUAAGAUUGUCGGUAGAGUACAUAAAUAAUAUGGAUUUAGCGUAGAUAAGAUGCAGGUAUGUUACAUUACAUACGUAGAAUACAUGGUUAUGUUGUGGUAUCUUAUGGCGAACGUUAAAUUAGGUUAGGUUAGUGCGAAUGUUAUCUAAUCAGGGUCGUUGCCGCGCGUAGAGGAGCAACGAAUUGCGCGCCAAACAGGGAAUCGAGGAAAAUUAAAGGCACAACUCAGUACCGACAGUACCUUCGAUAAUGACGCGAGGGAAGCUGAACGGCAGUUGAGUCCGUUAAUUUGGCAAGUGCUCUACAGACCUCAAGACGCAGGGACCGUCAAGUAAUCGAAAACGGCGAAUAUGCGAGAGAUUAUCGCCUGGCGGCAUCGCGUAAGGAUUACAACGCAACGUCUUUAAAAGUCACCACCGGCGGAUUUCUUGAAUUAUGGGACAAGG